GUGCCAGCCGCCGCGGUAAUACGAAGGGGGCUAGCGUUGCUCGGAAUUACUGGGCGUAAAGGGCGCGUAGGCGGAUAUCUAAGUUGGGGGUGAAAUCCCGGGGCUCAACCUCGGAAUUGCCUUCAAAACUGGGUAUCUUGAGUUCGGGAGAGGUGAGUGGAACUCCGAGUGUAGAGGUGAAAUUCGUAGAUAUUCGGAAGAACACCAGUGGCGAAGGCGACUCACUGGCCCGAUACUGACGCUGAGGCGCGAAAGCGUGGGGAGCAAACAGGAUUAGAUACCCUGGUAGUCCACGCUGUAAACGAUGAGUGCUAGUUGUCGGCAUGCAUGCAUGUCGGUGACGCAGCUAACGCAUUAAGCACUCCGCCUGGGGAGUACGGUCGCAAGAUUAAA
rnacentral:rRNA from 1 species